UACGUAUGGGGCGAGCGUUGUUCGGAGUUAUUGGGCGUAAAGGGCGUGUAGGCGGCCCAUCAAGUCUGGUGUGAAAGCGCAGGGCUCAACCCUGCGUAGGCGCUGGAAACUGGCGGGCUUGAGUUUCGAGGGGGAAGCUGGAAUUCCUGGUGUAGGAGUGAAAUCUGUAGAUAUCAGGAAGAACACCGGUGGCGAAGGCGAGCUUCUACUCGUGAACUGACGCUGAGGCGCGAAAGCGUGGGGAGCAAACAGGAUUAGAUACCCUGGUAGUCCACGCUGUAAACGAUGUGCACUAGGCGUGGGGCGCAGUGAGCGCUCUGUGCCGUAGCUAACGUGUUAAGUGCACCGCCUGGGGAGUAUGCUCGCAAGGGUG
rnacentral:rRNA from 1 species